AUCCAGCUGAUGAGUCCUAAAUAGAACGAGAUACACCUCCUGGAU
rnacentral:hammerhead_ribozyme from 1 species